rnacentral:rRNA from 1 species
UACGUAGGGUGCAAGCGUUGUCCGGAAUUAUUGGGCGUAAAGAGCUCGUAGGCGGUUUGUCGCGUCUGCUGUGAAAACCCGAGGCUCAACCUCGGGCCUGCAGUGGGUACGGGCAGACUAGAGUGCGGUAGGGGAGAUUGGAAUUCCUGGUGUAGCGGUGGAAUGCGCAGAUAUCAGGAGGAACACCGGUGGCGAAGGCGGUUCUCUGGGCCUUACCUGACACUGAGGAGCGAAAGCGUGGGGAGCGAACAGG